UACGUAGGGGGCAAGCGUUGUCCGGAUUUACUGGGCGUAAAGCGCGCGUAGGCGGAAGUGUAAGUCUGGCCUGAAAUCCCUCGGCUUAACCGGGGAACUGCAUCUGAUACUGGAUGGCUCGAGUUUGGGAGAGGGAUGCGGAAUUCCAGGUGUAGCGGUGAAAUGCGUAGAUAUCUGGAGGAACACCGGUGGCGAAGGCGGCAUCCUGGACCAACACUGACGCUGAUGAGCGAAAGCCAGGGGAGCAAACGGG
rnacentral:rRNA from 1 species